GUGAGAUGAAAUCAGCGUUUGGACAUGUGAUUUUACGCUGAUUUCAUCUCAUGA
rnacentral:pre_miRNA from 1 species